CCUGCACUGGUUUGGGAUGCUCUAUGCCUGCCCUGUCCUCGUGGCAAAAUGUGCUUGGGAACACCUGAAGGAACUGCUUGCCAGAGAGACGUGGGCAGAAGUUCCCUCAACUGCUGUAUAAGGGUUGGCUGUAAGGGUGCUAUCCAGUGAAAAACCUCAUUUAAAGCAAGGAAGGAGUGCUGAAGAGAGGUCCUGUGUCCUGCAGCACUCACAGUCCUUUAUUUUACUGCAUACCCAAUGAUAUGAGGACUAGAAGGGAUCCAGUAAGGAGUGACAUAAAUGUGC